rnacentral:rRNA from 1 species
AACGAACGCUGGCGGCGCGCCUAAUACAUGCAAGUCGAGCGAGAAGACGUAGCAAUACGUUUGUAAAGCGGCGAACGGGUGAGGAAUACAUGGGUAACCUACCCUCGAGUGGGGAGUAACUAGCCGAAAGGUUAGCUAAUACCGCGUACGCUCCUUGGACUUCGGUUCAGGGAGGAAAGCGAUACCGUGGGUAUCGCGCUCUUGGAUGGGCUCAUGUCCUAUCAGCUUGUUGGUGAGGAACGGCUCACCAAGGCUUCGACGGGUAGCUGGUCUGAGAGGACGAUCAGCCACACUGGCACUGCGACACGGGCCAGACUCC